ACGACAGUGCACUACAGCGACAUCCUACUGCAUUCCUUUCUGCUCGUUCUCCCGACCAUUUACUCUUAAGGAAGUGGAAGGAAUAAAUUUACUGAACGCGUAUCCAUUUCAUGUUAAGUGCAAAAGAUUCAACUAAAAUGGACGCACCGAAUUACUGCAAUAUAAUUGGUGCGCUGCUACUACGGUGUCGGUACAAAAAUCCGCCACAACGACCGCGAAAUCGUAUUCACAUCGCUCUAUAUUUUUCAUCGAUGUUAUUGUUUACAGUAUCGACGAUGCGCUUCUUCGUACCUGGAAUUGGUCGAGAUUCUUUUCACGAAUUUUACAGCAUUAUUUUUGACCAAAGAGCAUCAAAAAGGCAAUUAACAUCUAUCCUUGCUAGUAUCGAUAAUCCGCCUUUUUGUGCCCGGAAUUGGUCUUCGCAAAUUUCACGGCGCUAGUUUUGUCCGAGGAACAUCGAAAAACAACUGGCCGAUACACGAUCAUCAUCAGAUAAACUUUGUGCGCGUAAUCGGUGCUACAAAAUAUCGUUCCGUCGUAAUAUAAUAAAAUACGCGUCGGGAGUGCCGUUAAUAUCGGGAGUGCCGUCAUAAUUUCGCGCGAGUUUAAAGUAUCGCGCGAUUUUCGCAUUCGAGUACGCGCGCGAGCAAUGCGUGCGCCGCGACGCGUGUGAGUCAGUGUGAGUGCCUCGAAAGACUGCUGAGAGGAGGAGGAGGCAUCGGGCGACAGCAAAGCAUACGACUCGGCAACCACGACGGGUCCAUGCGAUAAUAGGAGAAGGCGUCCAUUCGACAAUAUCUUCUUGCGAGGCGCUCGCCGAUUCCCCCGGAGCAUCCAACGCCGCGCCGAGUCGGAAUGUUUGACGCCACAAGCUGCCUCUCUUCGGACGUCCAAUAAAGGAAAUUCGGCUGACCGCAAAAAUCCGUUUCUACUGCCGUGUAGAGGAAUUUGGGGACUGCAAUCUUCUCGGAAUCCGCCGAAUGGAAUG